UACGUAGGGGCCGAGCGUUGUCCGGAGUUAUUGGGCGUAAAGCGCGCGCAGGCGGCUUCGCGCGUCCGACGUGAAAGCCCCCGGCUUAACCGGGGAGGGUCGUUGGGUACGGCGGAGCUUGAGGGCGGGAGAGGUUGGUGGAAUUCCCGGUGUAGUGGUGAAAUGCGUAGAGAUCGGGAGGAACACCUGUGGCGAAGGCGGCCAACUGGGCCGACCCUGACGCUGAGGCGCGAAGGCGUGGGGAGCGAACGGG
rnacentral:rRNA from 1 species